AGCUUCUUCUUAUAAACAGCUCUGAGCAGCACACAAGAGGAGCUCACAACACACACACAGAGAGAGAGAGAAAUCACAAUGCUGUAUAUUUUGGGGAUUGUUUUGGGGCUCGUUGGCAUCAUCAAGUGCAUGUCACAUGGCCUGAGUCAGAUUCAAACCAAAGCCGGAAAUGCCUCUCAAGACAAAAACUUGCUUUACAAAAAUAAGAGAAUGAAAGAUCAGGAGGUUUACCUCAUCAUUAAGCUCCUGACCGCUGGGCUGGUGGACGCAGACCCAAACACCCUGCACCACAUUAAAGAAUACAGAGACCUGAGAGGAAGCUCAACCUGAGGGAGGAAAUGACAGCAGGAUGAUUAUCUGAGAGGGAAACCCGAGAGCGGGGGUUUACCUUUAUUUAAGAGGAAGGGGGAAGUCCUUGGAAUGACCACAAAAUGUUUUACUAAGAACAUCUGGAUCUGUUCUGAAAGACUCCAGUGAAAUGAAUAGAAAAGACUGAUAAUUAUUCAUCGAUUCUCAAGAUCAACAGAUAUUUUCUGGAGUUAGUUGAAAUGAUCCACUGUGAACACUCAUCACAUCCAGUGGGCAUUCAAACACUCCUGCACUCAUUCAGUUUAAUGGUCAGCUAAAGAAAGAGAGAGAUCGUUAAAUUGUAUAUCACAGAAAUUAAAGUACAAAAUCAGUCACUGGGGCGGUACCUUACCAAAAAGAAACCUACUUACGUUUUUAUUCCUAACACGUACUUAAAGGGAAAUAGCAAUACCUAAAAAAAGUAUAAAUGUGUAACAGUGUACCUCAUAGUAUACCUUAAAGGUACAAAAGAGUACGCUAAAGUUGACUUUAAGUUACUUUUAUUCAAUCAACAAGAUUUGUUUUGACUGCAAAUGGCACAGGCUUCUCCCAAAUGAUAGUAGGGCAAUGUACAUGAGGCAUCACUGUGGGAAAAAAAAAUAUU